UUCUAUAGAUGUGCUUGAUGCCUUUUUAAAGACACCCCCGGCCUCUUGUCAGAACUCAACAGUCUCCGUUCACGACUCUCUUCCCCAUCUAUUCUCUUCUCCGAAUAAGGACCUUCGUAAUUUUCUCUGAUCUUCUUUGCCCGUUCAAGAAUCUAUCUGUAUAAUGACUCAUAUCCUUCCGUUGAUCAGCCUUUUUGUUUUUCCUACCAUCUCGACGGUUUGUUGUUUCUUCCCGCCGUUUGGUUGCCUUCAAUAUUUCAGAAAACGAAAAAAGAAAUAAAAAUCAUAUUUUCGGAUCUUUCCUUUCUGUUUUCAGUAAAAAAAAAAAAAAGGAGAGUUGAAGAUUCCAGAAGUUUUUUUUUUUCUUUGAUUGUUCGACGGUUUUUUCCUCGGCAACCAAACGGGUUAUAUAUGGUUUUUGAUAGCUAGUAUUUGAAAAGAUAGUUUUGUUUCGUGAUCUUUGUUUGUUUGGCUUUAACUGAAGCGAACGCGGUAACCAGAGAGACCGGGACCGUGAGCGGGCUCAGGCUCGGGCCGGCAACAAGUCCAAGCAGCAGCCCAAAAGCGACGGCCUCACCCCCGAGCAACGCCGAGAAAGGGAUGCGAAGGCGCUACAAGAAAAGAUGGCGAGGAAAGCGGCGCAGUCCGUCGGGGGGAACAAUGCUGGCGGCGGCGGCGGCAUCAUAGGUAAAAAAUGACAGAGUGAAUGGUGGGGGAUAUAGGUAGGUAGAUAUGAGAAUACUUGUACUGGAUCAGAUGUGGGUUCAUUUGGUGAUGUUGUUUGAGAUGAACAAACAAACUAAUUAGGUUUUUUCUUGAAGGACAUUGUUAAAUUUGGCUUUUCGACCAUCGAUGUUAUCUCUGAUUUGGAAUGGAACUCCUUUGUAGCUUUGUUCAACUGUUUUUUUUUCCCAAA